AUAAAUAGUUACAUACGCGCACACGAAUUCCAAACGCGAUAUGUACGAUCCUAAACUUGACGCGAUUCAUUGUUGUUUAUUCGAUAACGAGAUAUGUAUAAACUUGCAUCUAUGUACAUACAUCGUGCAUAUACGCCGCGUAGCAAUCUACUAUACGUAGAUAAAGAACUGGACGAUCCCGGCUCUUUGUUAUUCUAUGGAAGCUUAUUUAUAUCGUUUAUACUUUUGGAAUCGUGGCGUACACGUAGACGAGCCGAUAUAUACAUACGUUAUUCAAACGAUGGAUAGACAUUCGUAAAACAUCGUAAAAGGACUUACCAAACGGAUAAUUAACCACGGUUUGACGGGUAUUGACAGAUCAAGGCGCAGAGGUUAGAAUCGCUUGUUUUGCUGCCGCCGUGUGACAGCGUGGCGUCCAGCGGCGUCGGCGCGGUAGCUUGUGCAGUAACAGUUUCGCAGUACUGACAACCUUCGUGGAUAGGUGGCAUGCGCGAUUCGAUGCGCAAACGUUUCGAAAGUUCAGUACGGCACGCGCAGCUGCGUCACGCGAAGGUCCGUGUUUCUUCAACGUUCAACUUCGGUUCGAAACGAAACGGUUUAUUUUAUUUAUUUAAAGCACGCGAACCAUUUGUAAAACGAUGAAUGAACGUACGACGAGGCGAGGAGGACAGAAGCAUGCGCAGUAUAUCGGCACGAUCGAUAACGAAGAUUGACUGCAGCUUCUCCGAAACAAUCGACGACCCGGAAACGAAGAAGCGCCUCGUGUAUUUAUUAUCGGGGAAAACUUCCAAGCGUAUACAUAUAUAUACAUACAUACAUACAUACACAUCGUACAGCAACGGAAAGGAAUAGACCCGCUCUUUACGGCCGAUAUCGAAGUAGUACAGGUCAAUCACAAGCCGGACAAAGCCAUUCAAGAUACAUCCUCGCAUUUUCUGAUACAAUUAGCAACUGGUUUAAGUUAACUUGAAAGUGAGAAGAAACUCUCAAAAUGAGAGAGAAGAAGAAAGGAAGAAAGAGUACAGCAAUUUUAGAAAAAGGCGAGAGAGAAGAGGAGUGGAAGAAGAUAAAGAAGAAGGCAAAGAGGGAAAAACUAUGGAAUAGUGGAUAGAAGAGUCAUCAAAUAUAUGGAUAAUAGCAUCACAAUACAAAUAGUACAGGGAGGUGGCGACUGCGUCGCGAUGACUCAGCGCAAGUGAGGAAAAAAAUGUUUGAUUUUUCUGCUAAAAACAUCGAAAAAGCAGGUUCCCGAUGGAUUCGCCAAGAAAUCGUGUAUGCAGACAUUCGACAGUCGAUAACCUAAAAAAUAUCAUCGUCUAAUGCUAUUCGUCUAGCAUACAAGUGAAUAGAUAGAAACAAUUGACACUGUUAGUUGAUGGAUAUGCAAAAACCGACGCUAUCUGAUUGAAGAAAAUCGUAAAAUCCUUGAGUCGAGACAGAAGCAUUUGGAGAGCUUGAAAAUAUUUGAUAUCAUUAUCAGAAUGAAAAACCAAGCCUUGGUUGAAAUUUUAUGAGGAGAUUAUAGAGAAAGCUUACGAAUGACCUGGAAAGUUCGUGUUUUCGAGCAGACGUAGACUAAGCCAAAUGUAAAAGCUGACGCGAAUGUCAAGAACGAAGACAGCUGUAAAACUCGAGCACUGUAUGACCCAGAUACGGAUUCUCCAAGGGAUUUCCUAGACGUGGAGUUACUAAGAGACAGAAAAAUUGCCCUUAUGGAAAAUGUAGAAGAAGUUUGUUGCAUGUUACAUUUGGUAAUGGGUCUUUCCAUGAACAAUCGCUGCUAAUCUUCUCUUGUUUCAGACGUCAUAGCUAAUUUGAUGACGCCAUAUCCAAAAUUUGGAGAAAUUGAGAAACCAGAGGAACAAAUCCUUGAUAAACAAAGGAUAUUUGCAUAAAAUAUUGGCAGACAGGGAAGGAUUAUUUGGCUUGCCAGAUUGGAAACUCCAUUUGACAUAUCUGUAUCGUAUACUCUCACGAAGCUCUGUAAAGCAGCAAAUGCAAACUGUUUGAUAGCAUUAAUAGAGAAAGAAAAGAGAAAGGAGGAGGAGUUGGAAGAUGGUAGAGAGGAAUUGAAAGAGGGAUGCAAAGAGGGGAAAGCUAUGGAAAGACUGCGAGAAGAGGAAAGUACUCACAAAACUAAUUGAGAACUUAGACAAAUGAUGUAAUAACAAUAAUAUAUUAGAUAUUUCGAAUAUAAUCUUUUAUGAUUCUUCAAACCUGUGUGUCGCAUAACAUUUGUAUUUUAUUGUGAGCAAACCAUGUGCCAAUAUCUGUUAUGAAUAAAAAGUUAUAGAAAAACGG